UUGUGGGUACCACCCCAGGAGACCUCCACACAGGCUUUACAUGUGUGGAGCAAACUCCUGCAGUGAGGCCAUGCAGAAACAUGUUUAGCAGCUGCUCUGCAGAAGCUUGUGACUUGCUGGGCCCCAAGGUGUCAGGCUGGGACAGCAAAGCCAGGGGCUCAUGGCCUUCCAUGAAGUUUCCCUGCUUCCAGAAACCAGGUGACAAACCAGAAACCUGUGUGCCAGGCCAGGCUCUGCCUUGUUCUCAGAGGCGAGUUGUUAGGCUGUCUAUGCUAACACUCUGUUGCUCACCUCUGGAACUCUCCAUGGACCAGCUGCUUUACCCAAGUAGUGGGUAUGGAGAAAGAGGGAGGUCCUGCCUGUGCUGGUGACACAGGGAGAUUUACUCACCUUUCCCUGAGAACGGAGGUGCUCCUCCUCCAACCUGAGCAAGUCACUCCUAAAUUACUUAACUAAAGGCUUUUGAAAACAGUGUGAAAGUCUAAAUGCAGGUGCUGGGACACCACAUGCUCCUUUCUGAACCACAGCUGGGACAGAAAACCAUCCUCUUCCCCAGCUGUGCAGGCUCUCCCUUGCGACCAUGGUUUAUGAGGCUGCUCCCUGUGCUAGUCCAAACUUGACCUGCUUCACAGGGAAAAGGUAUUUUGAGCGUCUCUGAAUCUGGUCUGGACUUGGCCAGGACAUUCACGCUAUCCUUGUGGUUUGUGAUACCACCCAUGUGGGUGAUGCUGAGCCACAGCAGGGCUGGGAGAAACCUGCUCAAGGCAGCACAAACAGAGCAGCCGCCAGCUUUAAAGCAAGUUUAAUCCAAGGUUUCUGCCCCAGAACAGAGCUGCCUGUUCCUUCCACCCUCUUUAUUCUACAAGGGUACAAAACUGACUCCAGUGCUGAUGCAAGCCUCCCACGCAGCACUGUGGUGUAUUAUCAGCUGAGCUGAUAACUGAAUGUACAAGUCUUUUCGCCUUUCCCAGGCUUUGAACGCAGGGAACAGGCUGUGUCCUGCUCAGAGGAAAGGGCUGGAAAUGCUGCCCCUUGGCACUGCCCACUGAUGCUCAGAGUGGGCAGGUCCUGCACCGCUCCUCAGCCCUCCUAGGCUGAUGGUGGUGACACAAGGCACUGUCACCCUACCCUAGGUGCUCAGGACGUUUCAAGCAGGUCAAGUGAUGAGCAUGUGGCAAGAUGCUUUCCAGCUUUUCUCUUUUCUUGCCUUCUACUCAGGGCUUCCUGAGUCAGCACUGCCCUGCAAAAAGGGCUGUUUAUCACAGCUGGGUUGUGGUCAGGACUGUCUUGGAAGGAGGGAAUCUGUUCUGUUCUCCUGCAGACCUGCCUUGUCAAAGCAGAAUAGGGAAGGAAAGCAGAGCCAGAGAGGCUGGCCCAGGCAAAAUGCCUCCGAAUGCCCCACAGAGUCACAGGAGGCUGUGGAUGAAGGUCACACAGUGACACACCCCUGGCUUUCUGCAGAGUCGGGGCUGGAGGAUGAAAAGAGCUUCUGAGAAACAAUAUCUGAAUCCUACAGAUUGUAACUAAUCCCAAAAUGCAUGUAAUUUAAUGACCCAGGGAUCUUUGUACAGAACAGCCUCACAAACCCUGCCCUACUUUGCAAUAAGACACCUAAGACUCACUCACUUCCCUAUGAGCUAUUUUUCUCUCCACAGUCUAAGCUGAAACCAGACAUCGCUGGAGUGAUUUAUUCACCCCCUGACUCACCAAGGCAAAACAUCCACGGCCAGAGAGAGCAGUGAAACCUCCUCAGCCACGCACAGCACAUGCCAGUCAACCCUGCUUUUGAAGCUCAUGCAUUUUGCCAGCCCUUGGAGAGGCAGGGUGCAGCCUGGGGAGGCAGGAGAGGGGGAUCAAUCCACAGAACUUUCUGAGGGUCUGUGGACAGGCUUGUCCUGAGUCCUGGAGCAAGCCUCCAAGUCUUGUCUGGGGACAGCUCAGAACAGCAGUGAAAUCUUUGGCUGGGAAAGCAGAGCUGAGCAAAGUGACAUGAGAAUUACUGGCUACACUCCGGUCCCACCUUUCCAGGUCACAUCUGCCCACAGAAGUUUGGCAGUGGAGUGAGUAGACAUUUCUUUGUUGUUUCAUGCAGGAUUUCAGCCAUUCCUCCUGCCCAGGCUGUGCUCCAGAUAAAAAACUUCAUCCUCACUACUGCCAGGAGCUUCAUCCAAAGAGAAAGCACAGGUAUGUAAAGGAAUGUUGCACAGACAGGUCUGCCUGCCCCAAGUUUUGCUUACUCCUAGGACUUUUCUCCAAGUUAAGAUUUAGUGAAGGAAAUUGCAGUUUCUAGAUCCCAAUCUAGCAUUUAAUGCAGACAGCUUUUGUCCAGAGACAGACAGCGUCUGCCAAGGCUUGGUAGCUAUGUUAAGCUUUUUCCAUAUGGCUGGGCAGGAGAACCUUUGGGCGCUGCCCCUGGUCUCAGACUUGCAGCAGACCUUAACACCUGCCUUCUUAGUUCAGCUCUUUGGCUCUCUGAAGUUCUUCUCUGCUUUGUCAAGGACAAAGGAAAAGGAUACUGUACGGGCAAUGUCUGAGAGCAGAGAAGUCACAUCCCUGUCCUCUCUUACACCUUCUAUGAUGUACACGCACUGUGUUCAUUGCUCCUCCAUGAUCACCGCACUGCUCAUGGUGUUGCAGCCUGACACAUCCUCCUGUUUCCAGGCUAAAGAACCUCGGUUGGUUUUGCACUGAAGCAAACCUGCCUAGAUCUGCAGGCAGUUUUGUUCCCCCUCUGCACCUUGUCUUGUUCCCUUGUAGUCUGCAAGAUGGGCUAUUUCAAACACAGGCUGCAUGGAAGACACCAGUCUGCUAUAGAUUUGUCCUCACUAAGAGGAUCUUUUGGUCUGGAGGGCUUUUACAGUUUUCUUUUUGACAGAUGCUGAGCUGACAUUUCCACACCACUGUCUCUGAGGCCUCUCCCAACCUGACAGAAAGCUCAGUGCAGCUUGGACCACUGCUCUCUGCCUUUCUCCAAGCUUGUUCUGGAAGGUUUUCCAAACAUGCUCCUCAGUCAGCGUCAUAAGGAUAUUCUGCAACUUCCCCUGGUUUUACCAGAGGCUGUGCUGAAUAAUUUCCAGCAUCAGCAGAGUCAGCUCAUUGCUCAUCUCUUUUCCAGAUCACCCGAGCACACUGCACUCCACGCAUCCCUGCAAGAACCUCAAGGGAGCUCAGCGCUUCUCUCCCUUGACACAACCUAUUGCUUCCUCCUUUCUCCCUGCAGAAGAUCCUGCCCUGCACAAAGCUGAUGUCUUGGAAAAGCCUCUUGGAAAUUAAAAGCCAGCAACACCACAUAGUUCUACAAAGUGCUUUAGCCAGCCAGGAGAUGAGAUUCCCUUACAAAAACAAAACCCAAACUUUCAAGUACAUUUAAUAGGAUGUUUUCUGCUAAUUUGGCUGGUGGUUUCAGCCAGUUUGACCAGCGCAGAAACUUCAUUAACUGGUAUGUGAUUUGUACACUGUUUUUUCCAGGCUUGGUGGGACAUUGGACAUGCACCACUCAGGUAUGAAGGUAAAUUUAAGAAAUAAGGCAAUUAGAUAAUUUCUAAAGACAUGCAACAAUAUUUGUAUGUGGAAAUUUCUCACCUUUACUACCUCUUAUUGAAUGCAUCACCCCUGGAAAAUGUGUUAGAACAUUCCCAAUUUUAAGAGCAAAGAAAGAGGCAGUUAAUUCACUUAGGGAUUUCUACAUUCUGGCCUUAACCGUCUGAAAUGCUUGUCUUACACCCCUACUCGCAGUGAGCCCUGCAGUCAUACUCCCUGGCAGCAAACCAUUGCUGAGGCAGCAUUUGGAGUUUUUCAUUAGUUCCUUUGAUGUUCCUUCAGCAAGCUAUUUCAUUCCCAUUUGUUUUAUACUCCCUCAUGAUGGUUUUAUAUUUAACAUGCUCCUAUUUGUGGUUUUAUGUUUAACAUGCCCCUGUUUGUUCUCUGGUUUCUCUUCCCUGCCUGGGCAUGAAUUGCACCAUUUGAAGCCAAGCUGUUCACUUCUGGUGCCUCCCUCCUUGUUUUAUGUUAUUUCUUUCUUUUUAUUAUUUCUUUGAAUGUUUUAUUUAUUUUAUUUUCCUGGUUUAUUACAGAACUUUUUGAGGGUCUGUGGACAGACUGCCUUCCUCUGAGCUUUUGGCACCACUUUCACAUACAUUUUACCUUUCAGAUAUUGGUGGGAGAGCAGUAAUACUGUUUUCCUUGUUUCAAAGCGUCAGUGCAUAGAGCACCCUGGACUUUCUGGAGCACUUCUAGAAGCUGGAGCAGACGUUCCUGUUCCUGCUCUGCAUUUUAGCACCUCCUGUCCUAUACGCUUAGAGAUCCACAUGUCUUGCGACAUUACCCUCAGCAGAUACGUAGUGCCAAGCCCGUGCUCUGUCCUGUCUGGGCUUUUCCUCUGGCUUCCAGAGCCUGGCAGCAGCUCAAGCUCCCCUUGCACCCCCGCACGCCCCAUACCUUGCUCCAGGAGAGGUGGUCUUGGACACUGUCAAUGGAAAGGGCGAUCAUCUUCACGUUGCGCUUCCUGAACUCGGGUGCCAGCUUUGCCGCCCGGCCAAGCUCAGUGGUGCAGACGGGCGUGAAGUCCCUCGGGUGAGAGAAGAGGAUGCCCCAUCUGAGAGAUGAGAGCAGGAGAUGGUGUUAGGGCCAGACAUUGUUCCAGUUUGUACCGCGGAUUAAAAGCUGUAUGGAUAGCACUACACAGAGACUAGUGUGGGAACAGCUCAUCUCUCUGCCAAAUGGAAAUCCUGCCCCGGGAACUCUUUCUUCCUCAUUGCUAGAAACCUUCAGGAGACGAGCCCUGUUCAUCGUGCUCUGAGAACCUGCCCGCGCUUUGCUUCCCCUCCAGGAUCCCCAGGGAACACUGGCAUAGCCCACCCUUCCUGAUGUGGAGCUGGACACCGUGUGAGGAAGUUUGGGGAAGUCACGUGUACACUCUGUACCCCAGAGACCAUGUGUGUGAGGGCACGUAGAUGCUGACCUGCUGGACAAGUUACUGCAGAGAUCGUUACUGAUUUACGAGGCUAUUCACCAUCCUGCAUGCCUCAUCGAUCACCGUGAGGAGAAACACCCAUGUCUAUCAUGCUGCUUAGAAGGAUGGUAUAGGAGUAAACCUUAAACCAACUGCUGCUGUGAGCUGCUGAAUGUACUUCAUGACAAAAAUAAGAAUUAAUCAGCUAACAGGGGAGGCCAGAAGUUAACAUCACAUUAUGGCUACAGUUACAUGAGUACUGCCACCUCACUUUUGCCCACUGCUUCCCAUCUGUGGAUCCUGCAGUCUUUCGAUCGGGAAAGCACAAGUCACCGCACUUUACAGCUAAGGCAAGGGGCGCACAGAGAAAGCACUUAAAAUUCCCUGCCAGGGGCUCGUCGCACCAUUUUCCAGCUCAGUGCUCACAGGGCUUACUGCAUCGCUCUUCCCCUGGGCCCCAGUGAAUACAGCUGCAGGACACAGCAGCCAGGGAAAGCGCUGCCUGAAAGAUUUGGGAACGGAGCUGGAGGGAUCAAGCGAGGCAGCUCUGCCCGAGCCCCACGAUUGCCAUAGCCCGCCGUGACGUGAAAGGGCAGCCACCUGGCUGCUGGUGCUACAAGUGCCUUUACGCUGGAAUAAAAAGGCAGCAAGUAAAAUGGAAAAGCAGAGCUUUUUUCUUUUCUUUUUUCCCCGGUCUCCCAAGGAGCAGAGUCAAACGCCGGUUCAGGCCGGCAGCAAUCCGGGCAGGUGGUGUCGCCGCCGGACACGGGCCACCGGGCUGAGGGGGACGGGGCGUGAGGAGCCCCCCUUCCCCCGCCGGGGCUCACACGGGACCGGAGCCCUUCGCCGCGGCUCCGUUACACGGCUCCGCACGCCCGGGCUCACACAGCACGUAUGUGACAAACGAGCUGUUCUCCGGCACUGGCCUGGGUUAAGCGCGGCUCAGCCAAGCCCAGCUUUGCCCUUCCCGGGCUCUGCCGUUUUGGGAGCGGCUCUUCUCCCCCGUGCAGCCCGGACGGGGGAAGGACGGGACCGGCGGCUCUGCCCACUCCGCGGGCCAGGCUGCGCAUCGCUCCCCGGGAAACCGCGGCUCGGCCCGCCGGCCAGUGGGGCAACCGGGGACUGUGCCCCGCGAGGCUGCCCGGUGGCUACCCUCGUAGGGCCACCCGCUGCCCCGAUUCCCCGGCGCCGUGGAGGGGCCGGUGACCAUCCCGGGGUGCGGAGCUGUCUCCGGUCCCGCUGCCCCCCACCCCCUCCCGGUGCUCACGAGUCUCCCAGGAAGUCGUGGAAGCGGAUGCGGCCCUGCGUGGUCUCCGCCUCGAAGUUGGGCGCCUCGUCGCCCAGCAGCAGGCCCGGCAUGGCUGCAACUCCGGCUGCGCUGCGCUCGCUGCCGGCACCGCCUCUGCGCCUGCGCGAGGCUACCGGGGCGGUGGGGCCACCCGGACGGACACGUGACGGGCGGUCGCCGCCUCCCUUUACGGCCGCUGUCGCGCUUAGCGACGCUUUGCGACGUGGGGGAGAGAGAGGGAGGUGGGCGGUCCUGCCGCGGCCCCGCUCUCCGGUGAUGGCGACGUACGUGAGCGAGCUGGAGGCGGCCAAGAAGAGCCUGAGCGAGGCGCUGGGCGAGAACGUGAAGCAGUACUGGGCCAACCUGAAGCUCUGGUUCAAGCAAAAGAUCAGUAAGGAGGAGUUUGACCUGGAGGCACGUAGGCUCCUCACGCAAGACAAUGUCCACUCGCACAAUGAUUUUCUCCUGGCUAUUCUGACCCGAUGCCAGAUCUUGGUUUCUGCACCAGAAGGUGCUGGGUCUCUGCCAUGGCCAGGUGGCUCUGCAACUAAACCUGGAAAACCCAAAGGAAAGAAAAAGAUUUCUUCAGUUCGACAAAAGUUUGAUGCAUACAGGCAUGUAGCUUUCCUGUAAUGAAAGCGUAAAUCUUCAGAACUACCGGGAGGGAAACCUGCUUUCACAUCACUAGUGGGUGGAUUGGUUUUUCACUUUGAGUUAAAUGCCACACUGUCCUUUGAAUAAAGCACCCCCCGCCCUUCCUCUUCUGAAACCAAGAUGUGAGAAAUCUGCUUGGCUGUAUAUUAAUUGUUUAUAUGUGAGCACCGGUUCCAGCCUCAAAAUCCUCUCUCUGGAGCCCAGCAGUUUGUGGCAAAGGAUCCCCAGGAGGAUGAUGACUUGAAGCUGUGUUCUCAUACCAUGAUGCUUCCCACACGGGGCCAGUUAGAAGGAAGGAUGAUCGUAACCGCUUAUGAGCACGGGCUGGACAACGUGACGGAGGAGGCAGUGACCGCAGUUGUUUAUGCUGUGGAGAACCAUCUUAAAGAUAUUCUGACAUCUGUGAUAUCCAGGCGGAAAGCCUAUCGUCUGAGAGAUGGCCAUUUCAAGUACGCCUUCGGCAGCAACAUUAACCCUCAGCCGUACCUGAAGAACAGUGUUGUUGCUUACAACAAUUUAAUUGAGUGCCCUCCGACCUGUGCGACACCUUCUGCGGGUCAGAGCCUCGCUCCCCAGCCCCCGCCCGAUGACGCUGAGCAGCAGGCAGCUCUGCUCCUGGCGUGCUCUGGGGACACCUUACCAGCGUCCCUCCCGCCAGUGAACAUGUACGACCUUUUUGAGGCGUUACAGGUGCACAAAGAAGUUAUUCCUGCGCAUACUGUCUACGCUCUAAACAUUGAGAGAAUUGUCAUGAAACUCUGGCACCCAAACCACGAGGAGCUGCAGCAGGAUCAAAUCCAUCGCCAGCGCCUGGCGGCAAAGGAGGGACUUCUGCUCUGCUAGAGCUGGGCAGCCGUGCCAGGCCUUAGGUGGCCAUGGUGCUGCUCCUUGGACUUGACAUUCAGAUACUUCUUACAAACCUAUGUCAGCAUUUCAAAGAUAAUGCAACUUGUGAGUCAACUUUUCCUAUGGAAACAUGACUGAGUUGUGGUACGCUUUCUCUGCUUCCCCAGAGCCAUGUACCAUGGAGUACGUGCAGCAAUCCCACUGAAUUGGAAAGGAGAAACAUAACAUUUGUUUGCAAAGACUGUUUUUUAGGAAAAAUAAAUGUGAGGGUGGAAAGAGUUGGUUUUAAAUAAGGUGUAUUUGUGUUUUGUGAGCAUGGGGAAUCUGCCUCCUUGCCCUCCCAUCUCAGGUAGUUUCCCCUUCUAAGCUGUCUCCAGGGCCUUGUCCAGCUUUUGCUCAUUUAACUGGAAACAGGGAGGGCUCUUGUGAAGAUGGGCAAUUCUCUAAGCUGACAAUGUUCCUCUUCUACAAGGGGAACUUCUGAUUAGAAAGUGUGAGGAAAAUAUGGCACAAAAGGGAAAGGUCAUUUUUAGCCUGUCUUCUGAACUGUUUUGCAUCACAAACAUGGUCUGCACUGUCAUAGGAAUCUCUCACCAGUUACCAAAGUAUGCAAUAAAAUCAGGGUUGUGAGUAA